rnacentral:rRNA from 1 species
UUUUAUGGAGAGUUUGAUCCUGGCUCAGGAUGAACGCUGGCGGCGUGCCUAAUACAUGCAAGUCGAGCGAACGGACGAGAAGCUUGCUUCUCUGAUGUUAGCGGCGGACGGGUGAGUAACACGUGGAUAACCUACCUAUAAGACUGGGAUAACUUCGGGAAACCGGAGCUAAUACCGGAUAAUAUUUUGAACCGCAUGGUUCAAAAGUGAAAGACGGUCUUGCUGUCACUUAUAGAUGGAUCCGCGCUGCAUUAGCUAGUUGGUAAGGUAACGGCUUACCAAGGCAACGAUGCAUAGCCGACCUGAGAGGGUGAUCGGCCACACUGGAACUGAGACACGGUCCAGACUCCUACGGGAGGCAGCAGUAGGGAAUCUUCCGCAAUGGGCGAAAGCCUGACGGAGCAACGCCGCGUGAGUGAUGAAGGUCUUCGGAUCGUAA